UCCCAAACCAACAGAAUUGUGUAUAGUGAAAUUGCCAUCGUCUGGCCCGCAUCUGACAUAGGAGGGAAGAAGAACACCGCCGAACUCCCUGUCAGCUGCAUAGAAGCAUCUACACGGGGUGGAAGACUCAAACACUAUUGCUCCCUGGGUGCUGAGGCCCUGAUGCACACUUAGGCUGUCCUGUCCUUCUUGGGGCUGGUCCUUCUUUGCAAGGAGGACCCAGCACCUGCAGAGGAGGUCAGAAGGGCAUACAGCAAACUGGACCGAGAGACGGCUGGCUUCCUGAGUGCUGGCAGAGCCGUGAGCUGAUUUUCUCAUUGUGAGCUGGCUCAUCUUGCCCUCCAGACUUGCCUGAAAACUCCUUAUUGGAUGUUGAGCCCUGAACGAAUUCCUGUCUGCUGCCACGUGCUGAGUCACGGUUCGUGUGACUCCUCACUGACUCCUGGCUGCCUUCUAGGCAGAUGGGCCUGCCGGGACUGAGAGGAAGCAGCGGCCAGCCAGACACCCACACCUCCAGGC
ensembl:lncRNA